rnacentral:lncRNA from 1 species
AGUCUGUGAUGAAGCCUUGACCUUCUCCAUGUGAAGGUGCCAUCCAGGUGUACUUGGUGAUGAUGGCAUCUACCUCCAAGCAGAUGUCUCUGCAGAAUCUCUGCUGAGAUUUGCAGAAGCUGUGCUGCAUUAGCUGGCUUGGUAAUUCUUGAUGCAGCUGGAACACAUCACCUUCCAAGUGCAGCUGAAGUGUGCAGCCUCAGGACCUGGGUGUUCUUAGGAGACGGGGCUGGUUCUGGGGUAACGAGGAAACAAAAGGCCUAAAUGCCUCUUGCUUGUCUGUCUAAGGAUCUGCCUCUGUUGUGGCUCCCAUCCUUCUGAAGAACACUUAAGCACAGUGAGUUGCCUUGUAUAACUAUUUAUUGUUGUAUUAUUGUUGUCAAACCCCAUUGCUGGCAGAGAGAAUUUAAAGGCUGUAUCCCAUUGUUGAGUUACUUCAUUACUGUAUUUUUAUACUCUGUUAAAAUUAUUACAAAAGGGAUUUAGAGCAAAUAGCCUUGAGCACCUUUUUAUUCCCUCUCAGGCAGCUUUUGUGACUUCUACCUCCAAGGUAUCAUCAAAUAUCCCC